rnacentral:pre_miRNA from 1 species
AUUACCCAAGGAUCUUGUUAAAACGCAGAUUCUGAUUCAGUAGAUUUGCCUUGGGGCACAGAUCAUUAUUCUGCAUUUCUAACAAGUUCACAGGUAACACAGA